rnacentral:lncRNA from 1 species
CUGGAUGCACCGUGCCCGCUGGGACCAGACGGCCUGCCACUGCCCGGAUGCGGCUGGAAGCCACCAAACACAUUAGGCGGUCCCAUGCCACCAGUACCACCGGAAGAACCCUAGACUCAUAAGAUCGCGUUCUACAGAAGCUUCUGGCGGCAUCCAUCAGGAGCACUCUCGAUGUCAUCGUCCGACGUCGUUGGCUCAGAGUACGGCCGCCGGGACUGCGUCAGUGGGCCGCGGGACGUCGGUGGCAGCCGCCUGCAGCCUCGGAGAAGAAGCAGCGUGCAGCGAUCCGCAGACUCGCGCUCCCCACCCACAGUCCCACACUGCUAUUUACGGGUUCUUUUUUGCUGCAAGUUUUGCUCUCAUCGCAGCCCCAGCGCCUCCGGCGCCCACUCGCGCACACGCACACACACAUACACACAGUGGCACGAAAGUCACACACACACACAAAUGUCAUUCAGGCGCUAGUUGACGCGCUCUCUUCGACCGACCCCGAUCACAGCGCGGCUGAGCGCGGAGGUGUGCCCCGUGCCCUACCACUGAUGACCUGCCCACCACUCCACCUUGUUCUUUUGUUUUUUUUUUUGUUUUUGUUCUUAUGUCUAGACUUUUUUACGCGAAUAUUCGCGAGAGGGAAGGAGAAAUGAUGGGCUGAAAGUUGGUGUCUAGAAGGCCUUGUAAAUCCAAAGUGGCAGCUUCCCAUGGAAGCCACGGCGUUCGCAACUGCUCGUUCGUCUAGGCCAAUGGAAUCACUUCAAAGCAAAGCAUGCCCUGGCCCUCUUUGACAACAUUUUUUUUGUGCACGUCAGCGCGGACGUUCAUCGAAGACGUCGUUCAAGAAAAUGGGGUUACCUGGCGCCGGUAUGCUACUUUAGAUGCGCGCGUCAAGACAAAACUAUGACGCUAACUUCCAGAGACGUUUGCAAGAGUCCGCAGCUGGUACUCUGCGUCCUCGCGUAUUCUGCCGCAGUGUAUGUCGAGGACGCAUUCGUCGCUUCCCGGACAAAUCAGAUGCAUCGAUAUCGGACAGACACGGGAAGUUAGUUCCAUGCAAAUCCAAGUUCAACGUGUAGGCAUGUAUCAAAACAGCAGCAAGUGAGAUGGAAAUGUGUAUCGUCGCAAGGUAUGGGAAAGUACGGCGCGAAUCAUCAACCUGCGUAGCUGGAACUGCCGAUGAGGCACCGCUCUUCUUGCCGAACGAGUGUAGCGACGCCCCUCCGUUACGCCCGUGUGCUUGUGCGACACUGAUCAGCCCGUCAUUAUGUAGUGGUCCUUCCUCCCUCUCCGAUGUCUAUCAUUGUAAAUGUCAUCACCUCACCGGCACCACGUGACUCGUCGGCUACCGCUGUAGAGUAGAAGCGAGGAGAGGUAGCUCAGAGUGUACAUUUAUUUCUCGCUAUCUCCUUCUUCCACCCUCCUUCCUUUUGCGUUUGCGAUGAAUAUAAGUCGAGGUCCUGUCGUUAUCGCUGUUCUUUCGUAACAGCGGCCUACUUCGUGUUUUUUGUCAGUUGUGCAAGUGGCGUUUCCGGAUGGCGAGCAGCUCUUUCAUUU